rnacentral:rRNA from 1 species
UGUCACUUAUGGAUGGACCCGCGUCGCAUUAGCUAGUUGGUGAGGUAACGGCUCACCAAGGCAACGAUGCGUAGCCGACCUGAGAGGGUGAUCGGCCACACUGGGACUGAGACACGGCCCAGACUCCUACGGGAGGCAGCAGUAGGGAAUCUUCCGCAAUGGACGAAAGUCUGACGGAGCAACGCCGCGUGAGUGAUGAAGGCUUUCGGGUCGUAAAACUCUGUUGUUAGGGAAGAACAAGUGCUAGUUGAAUAAGCUGGCACCUUGACGGUACCUAACCAGAAAGCCACGGCUAACUACGUGCCAGCAGCCGCGGUAAUACGUAGGUGGCAAGCGUUAUCCGGAAUUAUUGGGCGUAAAGCGCGCGCAGGUGGUUUCUUAAGUCUGAUGUGAAAGCCCACGGCUCAACCGUGGAGGGUCAUUGGAAAC